GUCGAGAAUCUUUCACAAUGGGGGCAACCCUGAUGGAGCGACGCCGCGUGGAGGAUAAGGUCUUCGGAUUGUAAACUCCUGUCAUGCGUGAACAAGGUUGCUUGGUUAAUACCUGGGCAAAUUGAUGGUAACGCAAGAGGAAGAGACGGCUAACUCUGUGCCAGCAGCCGCGGUAAUACAGAGGUCUCAAGCGUUGUUCGGAAUCACUGGGCGUAAAGGGUGCGUAGGUGGCGUGGUAAGUCAGAUGUUAAAGCCCGGGGCUCAACCUCGGAACUGCAACCGAUACUGCCAUGCUAGAGUACUGGAGAGGUGACUAGAAUUCUCGGUGUAGCAGUGAAAUGCGUAGAUAUCGAGAGGAAUACCAAAGGCGUAGGCAGGUCACUGGACAGUUACUGACACUGAGGCACGAAGGCCAGGGGAGCGAACGGGAUUAGAUACCCGGGUAGUCC
rnacentral:rRNA from 1 species